AGAGUUUGAUCCUGGCUCAGGAUGAACGCUAAGGCCUAACACAUGCAAGUCGAGGGGUAUGGUGCUACGCAUGCAAGUCGAAGGGUUUAGACCCUUGGCAAACGGGCUAGUAACACGUGGGAAUCUGCCUCAAAGUCGUGAAUAAUCAUUCGAAAGGAUGGAUAAUACACGAUGUACUCUCCGGAGUAAAGAUUUAUCGCUUUGAGAGGAGCCCGCGUCCUAUCAGCUUGUUGGUGGUGUAAAGGACCACCAAGGCUAUGACGGGUAGGGGGUGUGAGAGCAUGGCCCCCAGCAUUGGCACUGAGACACUGGCCAAACACCUACGGGUGGCUGCAGUCGAGAAUAUUCCACAAUGGACGAAAGUCUGAUGGAGCGACACCGCGUGCGAGAUGAAGGCCUUAGGGUCGUAAAUCGCUUUUAUUAGGGAUCAAUGUACUGAGCGUACCUAAUGAAUAAGAGGUUACUAACUCUGUGCCAGCAGUAGCGGUAAUACAGAGACCUCAAGCGUUAUCCGGAUUUAUUGGGCGUAAAGCGUAUGUAGGCGGGUGUGUUAGUCGUGUGUUAAAUCUUCGAGCUCAACUCGAAAUCCGCUCACGAAACGGCACAUCUAGAGAAAGUGAGAGAUUACUGGAACUCAUGGUGUAGUAGUAAAAUGCUUUGAUAUCAUGGGGAACACCGAAGGCGAAGGCAGGUAAUUGGCACUCUUCUGACGCUGAGAUACGAAAGCGUGGGUAGCGAAUGGGAUUAGAUACCCCAGUAGUCCACGCCGUAAACGUUGCAUACUCGGCAUAUGGGAGUAUCGACCCUCUGCGUGUCUUAGCUAACGCGUUAAGUAUGCCGCCUGGGAAGUACGAGCGCAAGCUUAAAACUCAAAGGAAUUGACGGGGAUCCGCACAAGUGGUGGAGCAUGUGGUUUAAUUCGACGAUAAGCGAGAA
rnacentral:rRNA from 1 species